rnacentral:rRNA from 1 species
UACGGAGGGUGCAAGCGUUAUCCGGAUUCACUGGGUUUAAAGGGUGCGUAGGAGGGCAGGUAAGUCAGUGGUGAAAUCUCCAAGCUUAACUUGGAAACUGCCGUUGAUACUAUCAGUCUUGAAUAUUGUGGAGGUGAGCGGAAUAUGUCAUGUAGCGGUGAAAUGCUUAGAUAUGACAUAGAACACCAAUUGCGAAGGCAGCUCACUACUCAAUCAUUGACUCUGAGGCACGACAGCGUGGGGAGCAAACAGG